CAGCUAACGUGUUCAUAAAUGUGCUAUAUUGGAAUCUUAAAUUUACUUAAACUGUUGAUGAAUUAUAAAGAUCUCAUCUUAAAUUUACCUAAAACUACCUUAAUUUGUUAAAUAAUCUGUUUUGGGACGUGGAAGGUUGAAUUAGAUACCUUUCAUAAUCACAUUAUUAAAAUUUGAAUUGACUACCUAUUAUUACUCUUUGGUAAGCUGUUUAAGAUGCUAAAAUUGUGCUAAAGAUGUAUUAUAAUCCUAUAAUAAUCCCAGCAGAUAGAUUUAUGACGAGAAUUGGAUUGACCGUGCUUUAGUUUGGCAUAAUAAUGCACUAUUAAAUGUAAGUUGAAUUGAUACGGUUUAAGAAUGUGAUUGAACUUAUGAAAUCUUUUCAGCUUGAAGCAUACCAGAAAUAAAGUUGCUAUCAAGAAUAGUGCCAAGUUUGUUUGACGCAACAGCUAUUACAUAUCUCAGUUCAUAAGCAUGCUAUCGAAAAACAAUGUAUGGAUGAAUUUAACCUUGUAGUUUUAUCUGAAAGUUUGCCGAAUAAUAUUGGGGUCGCAAACGUAUAACAAAGUCGUGAGCGAGCUGUGAAGGCAUCUCUCCACGCAGUGAAUGUAAAUUUCAUUCACGCUGUGGAAAGUUGCCUUCACAGCUUGCUCACGACUUUGGAAUGCGUGUGCGACCCCAAUGUUAUUCGGCAAACUUUCAGAUAAAACUACAAGGUUAAAUUCAUCCAUACAUUGUUUUUCGAUAGCAUGCUUCUGAACUGAGAUAAUAGCAAAUGAAUGUAAAUCUUUGCAAAUGAAUGGUUGCAACCUUGCCUACAAGCAGACCAAAAUGAUUGUAGUUGUGAAAAAAAAUAUAUAAAAACAUAAAAGGUGGGCUGAGUGUACCAGUUAUCACCUUAAUCAUUCCCUAUUUAUCCAUAGUGGUUAUUUAAGAUAAACAUUUAAAUUCUUGCCACUAAAACUUUCAUAAUAGGUCAAAGCAUGAAAACUUUCUAAAUUUUCACUAUGGCCAAAUAGGGAACUACUAUGGAUAUAACUGGUACACUCACUCUACAGUGAUAAUUUCUAAUGUAUCAAAAUUUUACUGAUUUAAAGGUUCUGGGAAACAAGUAACAAAAAAAAACGGGAUUCAGAUUUGGUGAAAAUUCUGGCGAAGAUCCGAACACACUUCAGGAAUUUCAGGCGAGAAACACAUUUUAGAAAAAGUUCCAGAUUGCAUUACCAAGAGAAAUCGUUAUUGAAUUUUAUUUUUGGAAAAGUAAUUACCUUCUAUGAUGAUGAUGAUGAUGAUAUUGUUCUACCAUCUAUUAUAGCAAGGCAGCUGCCUAUAGCACUGGAAUAAUCUGAAAAACGAUUUGAUCAAGAUUGUGCUGUUGUUAGUGGUCAGUCAUUUUCCUGUAUGAAGGGUCAAAAAGGGUUGUGCGGACCCGGAAGCAGAGACACUUGCGCGAAACCCGCGUCAGGGGAAAAGAAUCUCCUUCCAGAAGAAAGUUCUCACGAACAACUGCAAAAUCAAGCCCUCGAUUGACAGAAUACUCCCAAUAGAUGGGGUCGAAGAGCCCGCCCUCAAUCCACGAAAUGUUAACAACAAUGAGGAGGCAGUUCCAAGCUCUUGUCCAAAUCGCUUCAAUCGGGUGCCAUGAUGGUCCCUCCC